UAGGGAGACCUCCCACUGUACCAAAUCCUUAAAAUUGGAAGGUACAGGUGCUUAACCUAAGGUCGAUUGAGGUUUAAAUUUGUAUAUCAUCCGAUUGGCUUUCAAACUAUCUAGGGCAUGGACACGGGCUAUUAGCUCAGGUGGUUAGAGCGCACCCCUGAUAAGGGUGAGGUCCCUGGUUCGAGUCCAGGAUGGCCCACCUUUAGAAGAGGAAAAAAAGAAGUAAUUUUACUCUUUUGAACUCCGUUUUAACUUUUCCUGGGGGUUUAGCUCAGUUGGUAGAGCGCCUGCUUUGCAAGCAGGAUGUCAACGGUUCGAGUCCGUUAACCUCCACUGGGGCUAGAGCGUAUUCAGCUACUUGUUCCAGCAUCUCAUUUCAAGUAAGGUUGGAUUAAUUGAGAGAGACUGCUGGAAGAUUAUCCAGUUAGAACCUUGAAAACUGCAUAGUAAUUUGUCAGGUAGAAAUAGUAGAUAGUGAAUAUUUUUAGUAGUGAUGCUAGGAGCUAUUCAUUAAUUACUGAAUCACAGACACCAAUGUAUAACUUUCUAAAAGUUAGAAAUAGU
rnacentral:tRNA from 1 species